rnacentral:rRNA from 1 species
UGGCUCAGAACGUACGCUGGCGGCACGCCUAACACAUGCAAGUCGAACGAAGUAGCAAUACUUAGUGGCAGACGGGUGAGUAACAUGUAGGUAUCUGCCCUUUGGCCUGGAAUAACACGAGGAAACUUGUGCUAAUACCGGAUAAGUCUUUACGGAGAAAGCUUUAUGCACCAUUGGAUGAGCCUGCACUUGAUUAGUUUGUUGGUGGGGUAAUGGCCUACCAAGACUGUGAUCAAUAGCUGAUUUGAGAGGAUGAUCAGCCACAUUGGGACUGAGACACGGCCCAAACUCCUACGGGAGGCAGCAGUGGGGAAUCUUGCACAAUGGAGGAAACUCUGAUGCAGCGAUGCCGCGUGAGUGAAGAAGGCCUUUGGGUUGUAAAGCUCUUUCGUCGGGGAAGAAAAUGACUGUACCCGAAUAAGAAGGUCCGGCUAACUUCGUGCCAGCAGCCGCGGUAAUACGAAGGGACCUAGCGUAGUUCGGAAUUACUGGGCUUAAAGAGUUCGUAGGUGGUUGAAAAAGUUGGUGGUGAAAUCCCAGAGCUUAACUCUGGAACUGCCAUCAAAACUUUUCAGCUAGAGUAUGAUAGAGGAAAGCAGAAUUUCUAGUGUAGAGGUGAAAUUCGUAGAUAUUAGAAAGAAUACCAAUUGCGAAGGCAGCUUUCUGGAUCAUUACUGACACUGAGGAACGAAAGCAUGGGUAGCGAAGAGGAUUAGAUACCCUCGUAGUCCAUGCCGUAAACGAUGUGUGUUAGACGUUGGAAAUUUAUUUUCAGUGUCGCAG